UUAGCCAGCUGGGCACUCCACUACACCACUGUUGAUGUCAUCUAUGAUGUCAUGAGGGUGGUGGCCAUCCGAAUCGCAGCCCACAGACUGUGCAGUACCCAGGAUCUGCUGGACAAUGAUGACAGUCUCAUCAAAAGUGAUGUUUCCACAGUGUUUAAUGUUCUUCUGCUUGUUUCUGUCUCUCGGUGGCUUCUUGAGGGCUUUGGUGACCAGGGCAGAGGCAGAGGACACCACCUCGAUCUGGGCCUGUCUGUUCUGGAUGGUCCGUUUCACUGUAACCCUGAGACCUUUCCAGUCACCGCUGGCCUUGGCAAUGUCAUCACCAACUUUUUUUUGGAGCUAGACCCAGACAAUGAUUUGGGAGGCCAAGGCGAGUGUGGGCGCUGACCUCGCCUCCAGUGCACCUCAGAUACAUGACUUUGAUCUCGGGGUCGAACUUGCAUGGCAU
rnacentral:lncRNA from 1 species